rnacentral:rRNA from 1 species
UACGGGGGGGGUAAGCGUUGUUCGGAAUUACUGGGCGUAAAGGGCUCGUAGGCGGCCAACUAAGUCAUACGUGAAAUCCCUCAGCUUAACUGGGGAACUGCGUGUGAUACUGGAUGGCUUGGAUUUGGGAGAGGGAUGCGGAAUUCCAGGUGUAGCGGUGAAAUGCGUAGAUAUCUGGAGGAACACCGGUGGCGAAGGCGGCAUCCUGGACCAAUAGUGACGCUGAGGAGCGAAAGCUAGGGGAGCAAACGGG